UACGUAGGGGGCAAGCGUUGUCCGGAUUUAUUGGGCGUAAAGAGCGUGUAGGCGGCUUGGUAGGUCCGCUGUGAAAACUCGAGGCUCAACCUCGAGAUGUCGGCGGAAACCACUUGGCUAGAGUCCGGAAGAGGAGAGUGGAAUUCCCGGUGUAGCGGUGAAAUGCGCGGAUAUCGGGAAGAACACCUAUGGCGAAGGCAGCUCUCUGGGACGGUACUGACGCUGAGACGCGAAAGCGUGGGGAGCGAACAGG
rnacentral:rRNA from 1 species